UCGAUACGCGGUAACGGAUAUUUGUUCUUUAUUGUCACUUUAUUAAGCUGACGAUAGUCGAUGCACAACCUCAUGGUUCCGUCUUUUUUCACAAACAACACUGGUGCACCCCAAGGUGAAAAACUCGGGCGAGCAAAACCUCUAUCCACCAACUCUUGCAACUGAGCUUUCAACUCCUUUAAUUCUGUUGGUGCCAUACGAUACGGAGCUAUCGAAAUCGGUGUGGUCCCAGGUACCAGUUCGAUGCCAAACUCUAUUUCCCGAACAGGUGGUAAACCCGGUAAUUCUUCGAGAAAAACAUCCGGGUAUUCACAAAUUACUGGUACCGACUCAAGUUUCUUUUCUAAUUCCUUGUUAUCAAGUACAUACGCAAGGUAUGCUUCAUACCCCUUUCUUACAUAUUUUUGAGCCAACAUUGAGGAUAUUACAGCUGGCAACCCAUCCAAGUCCGUAGACUCAACUCGGAUUACUUCGUUAUUUGCGCACCUCAAAUCAAUAGUCUUGCUUUUGCAAUUCACAACCGCAUCAUGCACGGUCAACCAAUCCAAACCGAGAAUAACAUCAACUUCAUCAAACGGUAGAAGCAUCAAGUCCGCCGGAAAAUAGGAACCUCGAAUUACUAGGGGACAUUUCUUACACACUUUGUCGACAAGCACGUAACGACCCAAGGGAUUUGACACCCGAAUUACGAACUCAGUAGACUCAAUAGGUAAAGUCUUACUGGAUGCUAAGGUUUCACAUAUAUAAGAAUGAGUAGAACCGGGGUCAAUCAAAGCAAUUACAUUAGUAUCAAAGAGAGUAAAAGUACCGAUAAUAACAUCAGGCGAAGAAGCAUCCUUGCGGGCACGUAUAGCAUAAGCUCUAGCAGGCGCACGAGCCUCAGAUCUGGUUGUAGCAUCUCUAGAUCCUCUCUGACCGCCACUAGCAUUGCCCGUGUUUCUAGACAGUCUACCCCGAGCAGUAGUAGCACCUGGUUUCCCACUCUGACUUACAUUUUGUUCAGGCAACCUCGGGCAAUCCUUGAUAAAGUGGUCAGCUAAUCCACACUUAUAGCAGGAGCGGUCAUGGAACCUACAGCUCCCCGAAUGCCAUUUACCACAAUGCUGACACUCCGUUCUGUCUCGACGUUCAUUCCCAACACUGGCGACCGAAGUGCCUCGUGUACCCACAGGGGGUCGAUCACGAUCUCGUCUAAAAAGGCCCAAAGUGCCUCUAGACCGGCCCACAUCAUCUCGAAAUUUCUUCGAUGCCUGUUGAAGAGACUUUCCCGAGGAUCUUUUACGAAACACUCCAGUUCCCACAUCAACUUUUUUUUUCUUUUCUAAGCUCUUUGGCUUUACAAGCUCGCUCGACAAGUACUACGAACUCUCGUAUUUCAAGAAUGCCAACGAACAUUUUUAUAUCUUCAUUCAGCCCAUCCUCGAAGCGUUUACACAUGAUAGCCUCGGACGAAACACAUUCCCGAGCGUAUCUACUAAGUCUAACAAAUUUUCGCUCGUAAUCAGUAACUGACAUAGAACCUUGCUUAAGCUCAAGAAAUUCCUUCCGUUUUUGAUCAACAAAUCUCUGACUGAUAUACUUUUUCCGAAACUCAGUUUGGAAAAACUCCCAAGUUACUUGCUCUCGGGGAACAACAGAAGUCAGAGUACUCCACCAAUAGUAGGCAGAAUCGCGUAGCAAGGAGAUAGUACACUUUAGGCAUUCAUCGGGUGUCCAAGAUAGCUCAUCGAGUACCCGGAUAGUGUUGUCCAACCAAAAUUCAGCUUGCUCGGCAUCGUCGCUAUCCGUAGCUUUAAAUUCAGUAGCCCCAUGUUUUCGGAUUCUGUCAACUGAGGGCUUAUUUGACCUUAUUUGGUCAGUUACCGGAGGUAUUGUAGGUGCGGGGGUUGUAUUAGUCGGGAAUGGAGGUUGUGGAACAGCCGUAUUAGUUCGAAUGUAUUGGUUGAACCAAUCAUUCAUCACGCUAUAAAAAGCUUGCCUAGCCUCAUCAUUCGGAUUGCUAGCAAUAGGUUGAGAGUCCACCGGCGCUGUCCCAUGUGCGGGAGCAGGCGCCACACUCUCCACAUCAUCAGCUAUCGCUCGGUUGGGAUCGGGAUCCAUUACUAUAAAUAAACACAAAUUCAAAUGUCAGAAAUCACCACACUAUCAAUUAAUCACAUAAUGGCAUGUAUAGCUAGACCCAAACGUAUUACGGUAGUCCUAGAAUCGACUAAACCGUAGCUCUGAUACCAAUAAAAUUAUAACACCCCGUACCCGAGACCGUUGCCGGAGUCGAACGCGAGGUGCUAACAGACUUAAUUACUUUGUUUUCACAGUCCAUUUAAAAAAAAUUCCAGACAGGCUGGCUAACCGCGUCACUGUCGCCUUAAAAGAGUACCAAAAGGGCUUUGAUAGUGUGGAUGACUUCGACUUCGAUGAUCCCGAAUCCGAUAGCUAACGAACAAAAUCUAUAAAAUAGAGAGCCAAAGCAACGGGGUAAGCAUUUUAAAGCUUAGUAAGUUUCAAGUAAUGAAAUCGGCUUUGACUAAAGUAUUACAUUCACGUAGCUAAAUGAAUCACUUUAUUAAUACACAUUCUCAUAAUCAUACUUACUUCGCACUUCAUCAACAUAUACACACACAAGGUAUCAACCUAUCUAAAAGCUGAAAGUUCGUUAGUCGAUUGAACGAAUACUAUUUAAAACGAAUCGACUUUUCCAAUGCACAUGCAAACAUACCUUAUCGUUUGGGUUUUUCGAGCGUAUUAAUUGAAUUUAUUACAGCACAAAACGCUCACCUUCAAACCCAAGUUUCUUCAGAAUUUAGCCGGAUAUAACCACAAGCACAAUUGCCUUCGGGUCUUAACCCGAGUAUAGCAACUCGCACAAAUGCCUUCGGGUCUUAGCCCGGAUAUAUCAACUCGCACAAAUGCCUUCGGGUCUUAGCCCGGAUAAAAUCACUAGCAUAAAUGCCUUCGGGACUUAGCCCAGAUAAAAUCACUAGCAUAAAUGCCUUCGAGACUUAGCCCAGAUAUCAUUCAAAUGCUCAUGCACACAUAUAUCAAUAAUCAUGACACAUCCAUAUUUCAUUUUCGUUACUAAGGCUCAAACACAAAACAUUUAUUAAACCUUUCCAAUUUCGGCUCAAUAGCCACACACAAAGAGCAUGAUUUCAAUUGGCUUUAUAACAUAGACUCUAUGCACAUUCGGCUAUCCGUCAUAGUAUGACUAAUCAUUUCAAUAUAAUUCAAGUAGGGUCAUUACUUGAAGACUUACCUCGGAUGUUGUCGAACGAUUUCGACGGCUAUUCGAUCACUUUUUCCUUCCCCUUAUCCAACUUUGGUCCUCUAAGCUCUUGAGCUUAAUUCAAACAGAUAGAGCUUAUUUAAUAAUUUAUCAAUUUAACUAUUCGAUUAAAUACAUUCAUAUUAUACAAUUAGGUGCGAAUAAUUUUAUUGACUAGUUAUUCAAGCAUUAUACAUGUGCUCUACUCAUGCACCACCGAAUAAUAAGACUAGCUUAAUACCUUGCAUUUUCGAAUUCAUAUACAUCAUUUAGUUCCUCAUAACAUACAUUUUGUCCCUAACCAACACAAGAGCCCAAAGCAUCACUUACAAUGCCGAAUUCCAAUUAAGUCUACCAUCAUAGCAUUAUCAUAUUUAUGCACUUGGUAAGUUGCGUUUGAACACAUUCGGCACUAGGUGUCCAAACCAAUGUUCCUUGAACACUAAACCCAAUUUAUAACCAUCUCAAAACUCCUUAACAACAAGCAUUUAAUAACAAUGUACUUAACCAAUUCCUUAAACAUGCAUUCGGCAAUUACACCAAGACCAUCUUAACUCGUUUCUCAUCUUGCUAACAAAAACAUAGUAAAGCAAAUCUUCAUACACAAUGGUUACCAAUUCAUCCAUUCACUAGGGACAUGACCUAAUGUUCAAUAACAACCCCUCCUUUUCCAAGUACACAUUCGGCCUUGGUACAUAAUAAGGUAGCCGAUUUCUUUCCCUUUAGCACCCAUUGCUCACAUAUGAUUAUUUGUAUAGUUCAAACACUCAUCUAUCUUUGCUCAUCUAAAUUUAACAUGGAACAACAAAAUUCACCACUGUCAAAUACCAUAGCCGAAAGCCAUAGUCCAUAACACAAAUCAAAAUUUCUACAUGGGUUACAAAAGUAGUUUGAUAUCUUACUCAAGAUUAACCAAAAUUUCAUUACCUAAUAUAAACUUCUUACCUUGCUGUUAGCCUAGGAUGACCGAAUGCCUCCCUCCCUACUUCCUCUUCACAAUUGGCCAAGAAGAACAAAAUGAGAAAGACUUUUUGUUCUUUUUUUUUUCGGUCAUGCAUGAGAAUGAUGAACACAUUUUUUUUCUUUGUUUUCUUCCUUCAAUUUCUUAUUAGUUUAUUGCCCAUGCUUCUUAUUUUAUUUUUCCAUUAACACAACAUGUUUCAUGACAUGUUUUGCCCAUCAUCCCUUGUCAUGGCCGGCCACUAGUACUUAAAUGGGGGGAAAUUGACAUGCAAGUCCACCCCUUUGAUUACAUGCACUAUUAGGCCACUUGCAUUUGCCUAGAACAUUUCUAAAUUUUCUCACAUAAGUCCUAUCAACUAAAUUCACAUGCAAUUAACAAAAUCGAAGCUUAAAACUUUCAUACAUUUAUAUUCACAUAUUUUAGGCAAUAAUUAUCACAUUCAAAUAAUUUGGUGACUCGGUCUAGCGGUCCCGAGACCGCUUUCCGACUAGGGUCACUUUAGGGCUGUCACAACUGAUAUAUGAAAACAUUACAUGAUGAUAUUUGUACAUGGAAUUCAUUUAAAAAAUAUGUUCAUCCUUGAUUAUAGACUUGUACACUUUGAGUGUACUAUUGCUCGUGUGACAUUGAUAUUUCGAGUAAUAUAAGUAAAGUUCUGAUAUGAAAUAAUCUGAACUUGAGAUGAAUUAUAUGAAAUUAUACUUGUAAUAUAAAUAGAUGAUUUAUACAUGUUAAAUGAAUACAUGCUGUGAAAAGCUUACGUUCCUGGAAACUUGAUCGUUGUUGAGCCCACAUAUGUUUUGAUGUUAUUAUGGAAUAUAUGACUAACAAGGGCAAUGAGGAUACAUGUAGGCUUGAGGUCAAAUUGAUUGAGUAUGCCUUGCAUAGUUACCUCAAAAUAGAAUGAAUGGUAAGUUAAGUACCAUGUUAUACGAACUUACACUAUUUUAUAGUAAAUCGGAAGCACAUUGGAAUGGAAGCUUGGCGGAGAUCACUCACACUAUCCAUCGGCCUAUUUCGGUACAUAUAGUAAAUCAAUUAUGGUUAUAAUGGCAUGUAUAGGUUAAAUUGGUCAUUUUGUCAUGUAAAUGCAAAUGAUUACUGUAAUCUAGCAAUUGGAAUCGCUAGUGAUGAUUAUGUUUUGAUAUAUGUAUAUAUGUAUUACAUUUAUUUGAUGGAGAUAACAUAAGUGUUUAUUACUGAUUGAUUGAGAAUGGUUAAAUGAGUAUGUAAAAGGUAAGAUUAAAAGCAUGAAUGCAUGUAAUAAUGUAUCAUAUUAGAUAUUAUAAAUUGCUUGAAUUCAAUUCUUGGAUUGGAUAGUGUUUGGAUGUAAUUUUGGUUCAGGAACUUAGUAAAAAUUUUGGUGAGAAAUGAAGCUAGAAAUGGGUUUAUUUUUUCCACAUGGGCAGACGCAUGGGUGUGUGUCUAGACCGUGUAUGACACACGGCCUCAUACAUGGGUGUGUGGUUAGGCUGUGUGUCCUCUGCACCUUAAAUUUGAGAAAUAGAAUGCUCAGGAUUGAGCACACGGGUGUGUGUCUCAGCCAUGUGUGCUACACAGCCUAGAACACGGGCGUGUGUCUUGGCCAUGUGAAACCUGUACCUAAACUCGAAAAAUAAAAUUAACCACAAGGCAUAGCACACGGGCGUGUGGCAUGGUCGUGUGCACAAGUCAGAAAGUUACACGGGGUCAAAAACAGCCUAUAGCAUGGGCGUGUCCGAGGGUCACACGGGCGUGUCCCAGGGUCACACGGGCGUGUCCCUUGGACCACAUGGGUGUGUAAGCCCUGCACCUUGAAAAUUUUUUGAAAACUCACGAAAAAUUUUUAGAGUUUCUUAUUAAGUCCCGACCCGAUUCCAUAGCUUAUUUUAGGCAUCGAGGGUUCAUUUACAGGACGUUUUGAAUAAUCUCGAAAAAUGAACAGUGAUGGACAUGAUUUAUCUAAAAAUGUUCUAAAAGUUUCGGUAAUACUCUAUAAUCAUGUUCUGGCGACGUACACGGGUUAGGGGUGUUACAUUGUAACUAACUUCAUAUUAGGGUUUUAGGGUGGAUUAGCUACUGAUUAACCAACUAUUACCUCCCGACCUCUAAUUAACUCAUCUAUUGGUUGAUACUUGCUUAUCUUCUAACCUCACUUCCUCAACUAGGAUAAAUUAUGAUUUAUUCGGCUUGACUUAUCUCCUGACCUCAUCAUGCCUAUAAUAAUUUCAUAAGGUUGUUAGUUCUAAUUGUUUAAGCACACAUAAUUCAUACCAACUAAUCCUUCUUAGGAAACCCUAAAUUCUCCAUUAAUCAAAUCCUUAUCCACUCCUUAAUCUCCUCUACGGGAUUUAGCCACUCAUGUUAUUCAUGAUCUCUCUCAGAUUGAAUAAACCAUGUAAAGAACACGACUGAUUCAGAAGAGAAAAAAAAAUUUGAAUAAUCGUGGAUUGAAUAUCAAAUGGGGAACGGAGUAGCAAAUCUCUCGAUUGGAAUAAAGUUAUAAAUCAAAUGCAAAAGAACAUAAACUAAAAUACUUGAAUAAUAUAAAAAACUCUUAAAUCAAAACUAAUUCAAGAGGAAAAAUAAGAAGGUUAUGAAAACUCGAAAAGAAAAAUAAACUAAAUAUAUUCUAAACUACUAAGGUUUUGAAGGCGUCUAGGAUGACUUAAUUACAUUCAACCCCUCAUGUCUUAUUUAUAGAGGUGUUGGUAGCCUAAAUUAGGUCUUUGGCACAUCUUAGGGCUUCGUAUAAGUUUGAUUGCAUGGAUGAAAAUAACCUUAAUAAACAUGGGCAGAACGUCGACAUGUGUCGUGCCACACCUUUUAAGUGGCACAACACGACACCCACUUCUUGUCUUGUGACAUUUUUUUGUGCUUUGAUGUCCCAAAAAGCUUAUGCAUCACUUGUCCCUUGCCUUCACGUCAAUUGGGCCUCUAUAUCUUCAUCCUACACACUUAAUUAAACAUAUUAGCUCAACCUAAGGCUCGUGUCAGCCUAUUGGUCACAACACUUACAAAAUGUGCUUAAAAAAACACUACUACAUUUGACGGCAGGUCAAAUACCUCUACACUUAAGUCUUUGCUUGUCCACCAGCAAAUUACCCAAAACAAAAUAAAAAAUCGAUAAUAACUAAAACAGGAAAUAAUAAAUAAUCAUGCAAAGAAAAGAAAAUGUAAUUGAGCUAGCUUGAUACACAAGAUUAGAUUGGAGCAGCGACACUAAAAAGAAUUGCCUAAAUAUAUAACUCUAUCUAUAAAUUUAAACAAUUCAAAGUUAUUUACCCCUAAACAGAUUAGUUCAAUAAAUUACAAAUUAAACAAGCCAAAUAAGAUCAAAUAUAUAGCUCAAUCAAAAUUUAUAUACGAAUAUAGUAUUUAUUUUAGUACAGUACAGUUAGUUCAGAUAUUUUUUUCCUACUUGUUAAUUGUUAUCCGUGAAUUGAACUCUAAUGCAGUAAUGUUUCGUGGUAACCCCCUAUGAUAUUUUUGUGCCAAUACUAUCAAGAUUGUGCUCGGGCACUUUUUAUAAGGGUUAUACUAAUCAUGCUAUACUAUUUCAAUAACCAUAGAUUUUUUUCUGAAUAGUUUCUUUUUAAUUAAAAAAUCUUAUAAUUCUACAAAUACAUUACAUAUUCGUAUCUACCUUUAUAACUUGGUAUAUUUAAUUACUUUUCUAUUUAUAAUUCUACAAAUACAUUACAUAUUCGUAUCUACCUUUAUAACUUGGUAUAUUUAAUCACUUUCCUAUUUAUAGUCUAAUAAACUGAGUUAAUUAGUCUAAUAUAAACAACCUAAAUUAUUCAAUUUCAGGCUAGAUUUACAAUUUAAACAAAUCGCCAAGGUAUAUGCUCCUAACCAAUCACUUGUAUUUUUACAAGCUCGAGCACAAAUAUACAGAAGAAAAUUUUAAAAUUUAAAACUACUGAAAACAAAAAUAAAAUAAAAUAACUGAAAAGAAAAAUAUUAAAAUUUUUCCUAAGUCACCCUUCCACUUUAUUCAACAUAUUGUCCCUAAUGUUCAAAAAAUAUAAAGGAAAGAGGUUUCCUAGUAGGCGUGAUACCUGCAACUCAAUUGUUGGGACUACUCCUUUCGGUUUUGGCUCACAAAUGUAGUGCUAUCAAAAAUUGUGAGGUUCCUAUAAAGAAAGCUUAAAACACAAAUAUAUAUAAAAUAAUAAAUCCUAACUAAUUAAACUAAAACAAAAAUUAAAAAUCCUUCAAAAACAAAUUUAAAAUUUUAAAAAAACUGCUCAGAAUUAAUUGGAUUCAAGAUCUGAUGCUUCAUUCGCUUGAUUUGACUUUCGACUCCUCCUCCAGGUAUUCCUUCAGAUCUUCCUCUUCUUCCAAUUCCCUCUCUCCAUGCUUGAUGCACUCUUUGCUUGGUACUUAUUUGUUGGGAAUUGUGACAGCUUCAUCCCGUUUUUCUUUGCAUAAUCUUCAUAAAUUGGUAUCGCUUCUUGUAUCCGUUGAAUCAUCCAUUCGAAAUUAGGUAAUAGACUCGUACCUAGAUGGGGUUUUAAGUUAAUGACCCUAUUUCAUUUCUUAUUUCGCACCAAGUUUUUUCAUGUUGAUUCAUGUAUUAGUAGUUCCAAUGGUUAUAGGUAAUAUUCUGAUUUUCCCAUUGGUACUCAUGCUUGUUUACACAAGGCCGUUACUAAAUGCGGGAAGAGCAAUUCAACCUUAUUCUUCUUGACACAAAACAACAUGGUCUGGUAGAUCCAUGUACCAAUACAAAUUCUAUCUUUUCGUAGUAUGGUAUACAACAUCGUGGUUUUGAAUGUAUCUAUGUUGGACAUGUUAACAGCUAGAUAAACUUGAGUAUUGAUAAACUGUAGCCACAUUCUUGCUUUUGGAGUUAGAUAUUCUUGUAGGAUUGAUGAUGGGAAAAUUUUUCUGGGAUGUAGUUCCCACACACCUCAUCCAUUCGUUGGGAGAUUGACUAUGUCAUCCUUUUUCUCUCUCGAAAAUUGCAUGAGAUCUAUUGAUUGUAUAGAAUCAUAGAGAGAUAUAGGAGUGGUAUAGUAGUUCAAUAUUUCUAAUGGUGAUACCAAAACUUCUCUUCCUCGAAUAAUUAGUUGACGCCAUGGAAUUUCCCAUUAUUGAUUCAUUUUAACUUCACUUAAGGCGGUAUAAAAUUUUUGAACAAUUGGGAUACAUGCGGAUUCUUUGGGGGUCAUACAAAGUUUUUCCCAAUUGAGUGAUUCAAUUAUGUCUCUUGUCUCACUCGUCAAGGAUGCUAAUAGCUCAGACCCUCUCUCAUGAAGUGAAGUUUUCUGCUAAAUCAAUCUCAAGUGAUAUUCCUUAUUCCUUCCUAAAAAUAUUCGAAACUAUCAGCAAUUGAUUCUUCGUUGAACCAGUUGUUUGUCAUGGUUUUGGCAUAAAGAAGUAAGGAAGAGGCAGAGGAUUCAUGGAAUCUUUAAGGAAAGGGUUGCAAACGUUGGUUUGGGUGGCUAUGAUGACUUAAAGGGUGUGGUGGCUAGUAAGGGCAAUAUAUAAAAUCCAUCUAGGGCUUUACUUUCCAUCUAGUCUUGGUGAAAAUAUUUAGAGAUUACAUUGAAUCAAGAACGGAAAGUUGCCAAAAUGGCUUGUUUGUCGUACCACAGAUAGUGCAUGGCACGACACAACAAUUUUACUCAUGAUUUUGCUUUCAACAGAUAGUAUGCCAUGCCAUAGAUAGGGUGUGGCAUGACACGACAAUAAAAUUCAACAUUAUUAGACUGGUAGGGUUGUGUUACAUUGUGGGAUUGUUAUGUUCUGAUAUGACUUCGAAUUGGUCUUUCCGGGACUUGUAGAGGGUCCUUAAUUGCUCGUACAUGAACCCUACUAAUGUCUAUCUCCACUAUUGUCAUCGAACCUGGUUACUUCUAAUUCUAACAUAAAAUAAAAAUCUAAUUCCUAUUCUAACAAGUUAAAAAAAUUAGUGUACAAUAUUUACAAAUUGGUUAAGUUCGAUGGUUAAAAUUUAUGUUGCACUAUCGGACUUGCCCGUAAUUCCUUGAUUUUUUCCAUCAACUUUAGAUGUCAAGCUCGUCUGUCUUGGCCUUUUCAAUUGUUCCUUCUCCUACCAGAGUCUUGCCAUUUGUCUCAUUCCUUUGUAAUCCAGUUUCCUACUCCAACACGACUAAAGUGAUACCUCCGAUCAAGGUUGUUAGUAGUUAGAUUAAAUGUAACACCCCUUACUCCUACUCGAAACUGGGAUUAGGUACGAGGCGUUACCGCUAGCAAACAAGAUCUUUCUGGAAAAAUGGGUUAUAAAAUUUUGUUUCCAAAUUAAAACCAAUUAAACAAAAUCAUAUUGUCCCCAUUAUGGACCUACGGGCCCAAAUCAUACGUUAUUAGUGGUCCAGGACUAAACCGGGGACUAUAGAAAAUUCUAAUAAAAUUCCUAGGGUUAUGCCUUACACACCCGUGUAAAGGCAAAGCACACGCCCGUGUGCUUGGGAACACACCCGUGCCUUACACCCGUGUUGAAUUUUUGGAUUUAUUUUCCAUUUCGAACCUACAGGGGUUUUCAAACGGCCAAGCACACGCCCAUGUCCCUGGCCCAUGUCCCUUACAUAUCCUAGACACGCCCGUGUCAUCGCCCGUGCCCAAAAACUCAAACAUUCUAUUUAUGACAUCAUCAUUAAUUUUGAGGCACACAGCCAAGGCACAUGCCUGUGUGCUAGGCCGUGUCCUCCACAUGAUUGAGACACACAGCCGUGUCUCUGUCGUGUGUUUACUAUCAUGCAAACUGACCUAAAAAUUCUAGGUCCAGGGGACACAUGGCUGAGCGACACGCCCAAGGGGCUGGCCGUGUGUCACACAGGGCCUAGACACAUGCUCGUGUGUCUACCCAUGUGGACCUUUUUGGAGGCUAUUUUCCAAGCCAAAGGUCACCCUCAACAUCCAUACACAUUUAUAAACUUCAAUGGUAUUUAGCAUGACCUAAAUAUGUCCAUAACCUACCUUGGCAUAGUCUUUUGCAUAUUAACCUCAUCUCGUCUCAUUGGUUCAGCACAUGCUAGGUUAUCCUUUCUGUAUUAAGGAUUACCACUACAAUAAUCACAUUUUAUACUUGGCUUGUUUUAUAAAUCAUUGCCAAUUAUGACCUAACCAUUUCCUAGUGAUUUGACCAUAUUACACGUAUCCAUCCAUGGUAUAUCGCAUUAACCAUCUAAUAAAAUAUUCAAGCAUGACAUGCACAAUUAGUAGGAUUACAACCUUUAUCAAAAUGAGCCAUAUCUUAUGGCCAUAUACAAAAUGAAUGAGUAUAUCAUUCAAGCCCUUACAUUGGCUAGCCCAAUGACACAUAUAACAAAAUAACCAAGAAUCCUAUACAUGUCAUUAAACAAAAUAAAAAUAUCUAAAUACCAAAGCAGAACAAGUCGAUAGUGUGUUAAUUCUCCAAUCGUCUCCCAAUCUUCACGAGUCCACGAGCUCCGUAAGAAAGGAAAAAGAGAAAAUGGUAAGCAUUUAUAUGCUUAGUAAGUUCGGAUAACUGGAAAGUAAACUUACCGGUUAAUUAGCAUACAACCAUAUUAGGCAAUGAUUCCAACAAGCAUGAAAUAGUUUCCUUAUCACAUGCACUCAAUCAUCAAGUUAGUCUCCUAACAAUGCAUCAUAUCAUUAGUCUUAGAUGAGCUCAUCAACUCAAUGUUUCCAUUCUUUAUUUCUCAUGUUAAUCCAGUUGAAUUUCUCAGAAAUCUCGGUGGAUAGCCUAAUUACCGUCAAGUCAUACAAGUGAUCAUCUCAAGUACGCACUUCCAUGAACCUUACGUCUUACGGCGGGAUUACCAGUCCAGGCUAAAUCCCCCAUAGUCAUAACUCAUAGAGCAAUGUCGAGAUUACCAGUCCAAGCUAAAUCCCUUUUAACAACAAUUGCUCUCAUAAGCUCAGGUCUGAAUUGCCAGUCCAGGCUAAAUUCAGUCCUCAAUCAGAUUACCAGCCCGGGCUAAAUCCUUUUCUGCAACACAUGCUGGAUCUCAUGUCAUGUAAGCCAUAAUUUAUCCAUCAAAUUUCCCUUUUUAUUUCACCCAGGACAUUUAUCAUAUUUUCAUUUACACUAGCACAUUUCAUGGAUUAUCAUGCAAUGAAUAUCUAAUUUAUCAUGCAAUGAAUAUCUAAAUUUUCAUACACUCAAGAAUAUGCAUUAUAAGUAUAUUAAGAGUUUACUUCAAGUUAUACAAACUUACCUGGUAGUCGUUUUGGAUUCGUGUCUCGGUUAUUCUGAAACCUUUCGUUUUCCAUGAUUUACCUCUGAAAUUGGUUCCUCGGGGUCUAUAUCAAUAAAAUUAGAUUAUUAAUACAUCACAUUAUUCGUUUUAGGCCUAAAAUCACCCCUGGGCAAAAUGACCAUUUUGCCCCUAACCUUUCAUAAUAUUUACAAUUUAGUCCUAAGUCUCGUCUAAUGAAAUGCAUGUAAUUCCUUGGCUACCCAAGCCUAGCCGAAUGUUAUUCACACUUAUAGCAGCUCAUGAUUUUCCUUCAUUCUAUAUUUUUCUAUCCAUUCUCACAACUUUUACAAUUUAGUCCUUCAAUCCAUUUCUAUGAAAAACCACUUAGUAAAAGUUGUUUACCAUCCUUUAAACUCUCAUAUUCCUUCAUAAAUCAUCAAAACACAAACAUCUCAUGCAUGAUUAAUUUUCUAAACAUGAACCCUAGCAUGAGAUAUGGGUAGAAAUAGAAAGAGCAUGUUACGAGGAUCUCAAAAAUAUGAAGAAUAUUAAAAACGGGGCUAGGAUUGACUUACUAUCAAGCUUGAAAUGUUGGAAAACCCUAGCUAUGGAGACCCCUAGAAUUUUGGUAGCAUGGAGAAGAAAAUGAGCUGAUUUUAGCUUGAUUUUUCUCUUUUUAUUUAGUUUAUUACCAAAUGACCAAAAUGCCCUUCCUUAGUAAACUUCCAAAAUUUUCCAUGCAUGCCCAUUUUUGUCCAAAAACUUCAAAAUUGGGUAAAUUACUCUUUAAGGAUCUCUAAUUAAAAUUCCAAAGCAAUUUCAUACAAAUUGCUUCUAGAACCCAAGUUUUGCAAUUUAUUCAAAUUGGUCCCUAAUUUCCAAUUGGACACCUUGCAUAUAGAAUUUCUUCAAGAAACUUUAACACAUGCUUAUUAGUAUAUCCUAAACCUCAUAAUGAUCAUAAAAUAAUUAUUUUAAUUUAAUAUUUGUGGUCUCGAAAUCACUAUUCUGACUAAACCCUAAUUUGGGAUGUUACAAAUACGUAACAUUCCUCACUAGCUAAUCCCUCGUUUUGGAAAUCACGGUCACAUUUGAACACCUAUACUUUACCAUCAAUAUUCAUGAUUAUCUCAUUUUUCUUGAGAUUGAUAGUCAAUUUAAAGCCAAAAAUGGCUUACUCAACAGAAUAGGGAUUUCUCGAUCUUUUUUAAAGUCGAGGACUAUAAAUUCGACACGGAUUAUGAAUUCCGUAUGUUAAAAAAUACAUCCACGAGUACACCUUUCAUGUGUACUAAGGAUCUACCAGCUAAUUGAAGCAUUAUUGAGGUAUUUUUAAAAUCCCCAAGUUCGAGUUUCCAAUAAAUUGAUAAGGGCAUCAAAUUUAUACUAGCCCCUAAAUUGAAAAGGGUUUUUCAGUAAUAUUGAUCCCCUAUAACAAUUAAGAUAGUGAAGCUACCCGAAUCUUUUAAUUUCGUGGGUAUCUUUAUUAUGUUGUGAAUUGAGAUUACAUGAUUAUGCGCUGAUUUGGCUAUCUCCUCGAUCGACUCAUGGUGCACAGCUUCUUCUUUUUCCAUGAGUUCAUCAACUACUUUUGAAAUUUUCUCCUUUUCAUGGAUGGGCUUGGUAGGUGUAACAGUUCGGUUUUGACUCUAGCUGGAAUAGUGGUUUUAGAACCACAAAUUCGAGUCUGAAAAAUAUUUUACUAUUAUUUUCUGUGUCUGUGAUAUAUGAAUUUACAUCUGUGAAAUUUUUGUGAUUUAAUUUGUUUGUUUCUGUGCUUAAUUAUGAAAAAGGAUUUAAUCGCGUAAAGUGUAAAGGUUGAGUGCUAAAUGUUAAAGCACCUAAUUGGCUUGGCUUUUAAAAUAAAAUUCCUUGCAUGUCAAAUUUACCAUUUGUUUUAAUGGUGGACAAAUAUGGACAUUAGUGGUUGAAAAUUUAUGUUAUUUAGUUAAGGGCAAAAUGGGAAAAAGUGAUUAAUAAGUAAUAUAAUAAAAUAAAACAUGUUAAUGGAUGAAAUGUUCAUCCAUACUUGCCAAAUUUCAAAGAGAAAGAAAGGAAAUAAAAGCAUUUAGGGUUCGACUAGAUUAAAGCUCAAUUAAGGUAUAGAUUUUCGUCUGUUUUUGAUAAUUUUUACGUUUCUGUGAUCGUUGCUUCGUGUUCUUCAAAACCCAUGUCUGAAUUUCUGUUUCUGUUAAAGAUUUCAUGAAAUUCCAUUGUUGAUAUUAUGAGUUUUGUGAUGUUUUGAAUUAAUUAUGAAGGCUUUGUAGAUAGUUCAUAAGUUUUGUCUUUGAGUUUUUGAUGAACUCGAGCUAUUUGGACUAAAUUGUGAAAAUGAGGUUUUGAAGGACUAAAUUGUGAAUUAAGCAUGUUGUAUGAGCUUAUAAAGAAGUCAUGAAAAUUCAACUAGCCCUUGUUGCAAAUAAAUUUUGCAUAUGUGUGAUUUUGUGAAAAAUGGACUAAAUUGUCAAAGAGUGAAAAUGUAAGGGCUAAAAUGUAAAGUGCCCUAAAUAUGUGUAUAUGGAUUAAAUUAAAUGUAGUGAAUGAUUGAAUGGUUGAAUUUGUAUUAUAUUAGAUCAAGAAUAAAGAAAAUCGGACUUAGAUCGGGGGAAGUCCAAAAUAGUUGAAUAGUCGACUCGUUUUAUCCGAAAUCCGUUCGAGGUAAGUCAAAUUCAAUUACGUGUUAAUUGAAAUAAAUUCUGCACAUAUAUAUACUAUAAUCUGUAUUGGAUGGCCUUGAGUGACGGAUAAAUAUAUUUGGAGUAAAGCAUAAUAAUAUGUUAAUAUCUGAAAAGCUCUGUAUGUUUCUAAGAAAAGUUGACAUCUGUCUGAGACAUCGUGUAAGACCGUGUCUGGGACACAGGCCUCGAUUUAAAUUUAUGAAUAAGACCAUGUCUGGGACAUUGGCAUCGUAUCUGAUUUCAUGUAAGACCUUGUCUGGGACAGAGGCAUCAAUAUUGAAUUACAUGUAAGACCACGUUCGGGACGUCAGUGUUGUACUUGUUUAUGAGCAUAUAUAUCAUUUCUAACCCAUCUGAUGAUAGCGUACGAAAUCUGAGUUUGAGUAUAUAAAAUGUAUAACAUAUGUAGGUACGUUUGUAUCGUACUAAAUUUCUGAAUAUGAAAAACUAUGCCUCUAUGAAAUAUGUAUGGAAAUGAAGCGUGAUAUAUAUGCAAACAAAGAAACAUGGUUAAGUUUACGAAUUGUUCUAUGAAAUGGUUAUGAAUCUUUAUGAUUUAAUCGUACUUAUAUGCUUUAGUAGUUAGACCAAUUGUAUUUGGCUUACUAAGCUCUUUGUAGCUUACUCUGUGUGUUUACUGUCUAUUUUACAGUUAUCGUAGCUACUGAAGGCUCGGGGAUAGUCGAGGAUUGUCACCACACUAUCGAACUCAUUUUGGUACUCUUGAAAGUGUAAAUAUUUUAAAAGUAUGGCAUGUAUAGGCUAAAAGUUUUUUUUAUUAAGUUUUGAAUUGUAAAUAUAGGUUAUGCAAUGAAAGUUGGCUAUCAAAUGGUAUGUUUGUGUUAAGUUUUGGUAUGGUUUGAAUGAGUUUUGAAUGAUGAUGAAAUAGUUGUAAUAAAGCAUAUUUUGAGGAUGAAAUUGGCUAAAUAUUUUGCAUGAAUGUUGUUUAAUUUGGUUUGUAGGAAUGACCCAAAAAGGGGUGGCAAUUUUGGCUUAAACCAAGCCUGCUUGGUGCCACACAGUCAAGGGACACGGGCUUGUCUUGGGGCCAUGUAAGAAAAGAAGUAUUCUCCUAAGAACCACAUGGUCUUGACACACGAGCGUGUCAUAUGGCCAUGGGCUAAAGUCAGUAGCUAGCUAAGUAUCAUACGGCUAUAGUACACGGGCGUGCCUAUUAGCCGUGUGAAAAAGUCAGUAUAGGACCUAUUUUUGGCACAGCUGGUUCACAUGAGCGUGUUUAGUGCCUGUGUGUAACACACGGCCUAGUCGCACGGGCGUGUGACUUUAACAGUUUGAAAGAAUUGGUUAAGUUCUGAAAAUUCUGAAUAGGUUCAGUUUAGUUCCGACCUUUCAUUAAAUAUAUGUUUUAGGUCUCGUAGACUAUAUUUAGAGAUGAUUGCUUAUGAAAUAAUGUUAAAUAAUAUCUGUGAUUCUGAAUUGGUCUGAAAUGUUCUGUCUGUCUGGUAAUGCCUCAUAACCCUAAUCCGAUGUCGGUUACAAGUUAGGGGUGUUACAGUGGGCGUCUUCAAUUCCUUGUCCUAUUGUAAUGCAUUCCCUUUACAUGCUCUUUCCUAUCUCUGUAAGGGUUGUUCCCCGUGUUACCAGAGAGACUCUGGCCAUUUUGUUUCUGGAACAUUAUCAUCAGUUGGCUCAUUUGGUCGCAGGGGUUACCCAUCCGAGAUUCGAGUCAUCCAUAUGUUGUUUGGACUUGUCAAAUGUUCAUCUUCAUUGUUUAUAUCUCCCCAUUUAUAUGGUCAAAUCAUUGACCACAUGCAGCAUAGUCGUUGUCCACGGCUCGUUGAAAUGGUGAAGGUUGAUAAAUAGGAUUUUGUCAAGUUUGAGCUUGAUUCGCGCCUCCUUAGUACCUCCCCACUUGAAGUUCGAAUGAUCCCUCCAACUAGGAUUAUAAGUAUUUGAAUAGGGGUCACAACCCCUAUUAUUUAGGUAGUUUGCUUCCUUCGGAUGGCUUUUCGAGUGUGGCUUCGCUCUUUUUGGCUUCACUAGCAUCUCCAAAUGGUUAAGCUUUUCUAAGAUUUGUUUGAAUCUAUCAUCAUUGUUUUCUUUGCUCAUCAUUUUCACUAUUGGAGGCUUAGAUUUGUACAUAAACCUCUCAUUGGACAACAUGUAUAAGUUCAUAGCCAUAUCAUCAAUGAUUUUGAAGGCUCAAUCAAACGUAUGAAACAUAAGAGAUCCACCGGAUGCUACGUCUAAGCUAGACUUUAUGUGGUCGUCGAAACCAUUGUAGAAAAUUUUGUAUUCCGAGCCACGUUUGUAGUCCACGGUGUGGGCAUUUCCUGAGCAUAGUCUUGAAGCGUUCCUACACCACAAGGACUCGCCUUAAAAUCGACGAUUUCUCACCAUAAUUGAAUGGUUUGACUAAUCGAGAAGUUUAUAGAGAAAAAUUUUCGCUAGAUCGUUCCAUGUGGUAAUGGAACCUGGUUCUAAUGAGUCAAUCAACUACAUUAUCAGAUACCCCGUUGCAUUUGAAGGUGUCGCAUAAUUGAAGAAACCAUUUUAAGUGCUUACUCGGGUCUUCAACCAUGUUCCCUUUAAACUACAAUAUACUUUGGAUCAUCUGAAUUCUGGCCAUCUUUAUUUCAAAAUAAUUGGUGUUAAUCAUCAGCCUUUCUAUGCUUCCUUGCACCACGUCUAGUGUAGGUAGGAUGUACUCGUACAAUGUCUGCCGAGCCAUUGGAACUUGUAACACCCCGUGCCCGAGACCGUUGCCGGAGUCGAACACGAGGUGCUGACCGACUUAAUUCAUUUACUUGCACAGUUCAUUUUAAAAAUUUCCAGACAGCUGGCUAACUGUGUCGCUGUCACCUUAAAAAUCAUAUCUUGAGGUCCACAACUCGAAAAUCAGUUUCGUGAUUUUUCCCUGAAACUAGACUCAUAUAUUCAUCUACAAAUUUUUUUCUAUAAUUUUUGGUCGGGCAAAUUAGUACAGUUUAUUAGUUAAAGUCUCCCAUGUUACAGGGAUCGACUACACUGACCUUCGCGCAUUACGACUUGGAUAUCUCCCAGUACAAGGCUUCAAUACUGAUGCCGUUUGUUUCUAUAGAAACUAGACUCAAAUAGGAAUCUAUAAAUAUAUGGCAUGACUCCUAAUUAUCUCUCGUUAAUUUAUAAUGAAUUUCCAAAGUCGGAAUAGGGAAUCCAGAAACCGUUCUGGCCCUGUUUCACGAAAACCUAAAUAUCUCUUAACAUACAACUCAUAUGACCGUUUCGUUUCUUCCAUAUGAAAGUGGAUUCAUCAAGGUUAAUUUACAUAAUUUAUUCACUAUUUAAUUCCAUUCCUACUAUUUUUAGUGAUUUUUCACAUCCACAUCACUGCUGAUGUCAGCAUCUGCCUUUAAGGUAGACUUUACCUAUUUCAUAGUUUCCAUGAUUCAAUUAGCCCUUUUUUUUUGCAUACAUAGCACAAAGUAUAAUCAUGAUUAACCAUUCAGAUGGCUAAUCGUUUCCAAACAUUUCCAUACCUCUUAGUGAUCAACAUACAAAACGAUUAUAGUACUAUGCUAAAAACGUAUAUAAGCCAUUUUCGCAUGGCUAUCCAAAUUUACACAAAAUCCAUGGGUACAUGACCAACAACAAGAAGGGUAGUCCUAUACAUGCCAUUUCAAAGUUCAACCAAAAUUGUACCAAAAGGGGGCUUUGAUAGUGUGGGAGACUUCGACUUCUAAAAAUCCCGAGUCCGAUAGCUGACGAGCCAAAAUCUAUAAAACAGAGAAACAAAGAAACGGAGUAAGCAAUUUAUGCUUAGUAAGUUUUGAGCAAGGGAUUCCAGCACAACAAAAGUAUAGCAUUCAUAUAGCUAAACGGAUAAUUUCAUAUGCACAAAUUCUCAAUAUCAUACUUACUUCACAUUACCAACCCUUAUGUUCAUACACAAAAGAUCAACUUAGCCAAAGGCCGGUAGCUCAUUUAUCGACUGAGCGAAUACAGAUUUGUAAGGGAUAAACUAAUUCAAAGCACACACGAAACAUACCUCAUCGCUGGGAUUUUACGAGCGUAUUAAUUUAAUUUUUUACAGCAAGAUCGCUCAUUCCCAAAUCAAGCAUCUUCGGGGUUUAGUCGGAUAUAACCACUCGCACAAGGCCUUCGGGCCUUAACCCGGAUAUGGUCACUAGCAUAAAUGCCUUCGGGACUUAGCCCGGAUAUAGUCGCUAGCACAAAUGCCUUCGGAUCUUAGUCCGGAUGUAGUCGCUUAGCACAAAAGCCUUCGGGACUUAGCCCGGAUAUCAUUCGAGUAACCAUGCACAUAUAUCAAUAAGUCAUGACACAUUCAUAUUUCAUUUUCAUUACCAAAGCUCAAACAUAAGACACUUAUCACAUUUACAAUUUCGGCUCAAUAGCCACAUACAAGAGCAUGAUUUUGAUUUACUUAAGACAUAAUCUAAUCGAAUCAUAAUUUAAGUCCCAUUACUCGAAAACUUACCUCGGAUGUUGUCGAACGAUUUCGAUGGCUAUUCGACCACUUUUUCCUUCCCUUUAUCGGAUUUAGUUUCCCUUUGCUCUUGAGCUUAAUUUAACAAAUAAAUUGAUUUAAUCAUUUGAGCAUCGAAAAGAGGAACUCAAGGUACUUGGCCCACAUAUAUUCAUUAGACAUUAAAGUCACAUAUGUACGGAAUCAUGAAUCAAACUCAACACAUUAGUUAAUACUCUCCUUAGCCGAAUUUUCUAAGUCAAGAUAAAGCCUUCAAUAUGCUUACCUAUGGCCGAACAACACAUCAACCUAUGUACUCAUUCAUGUGGCCGAUUAUGCAUGUCUAUGUUGAGGCCAAUUAUAUACUCAAUACCACACACAAAUGGCAUACCUUUUACUAACUAAUGCAUUACAUAUUAUAACUCAAUACACAUCUAUCAUGUACUCCAUAACCGAAACACCAUCAUAUGUAAAUAUAUACCUUGAGAUAUUAUAUAUGUCAUACCAAUACGUCAUGUGCAAACAUAUAUAUAUGUGCAAGAGCCGAAUCUCAAAGUUGAUUAUAACUAAACAUGAACAUAAAUCCAAAACAGAAAUCUUACCUACCAUGCAAUAAGCAUAAAUCAUACUUAUGGAUAUACCAUGGCCGAAUACAUCACAACACCAUACCAUUUCAAUUUUUGUCAUGGUUAAACAAAGAACUUAAUGUCUCACUCAAAAAUGCUAAAAAGAAAAUCCAAGAGUCAUCAAUCCACCAUCACAUGUAUCAUUAACAAGCUUCAUAUUUAGCAUGCAAUGGCAUUAACACAAAAUCCACCUAGGCCGAAUAUCAUCCCCAUGACAUAGCAAAGAUUUGAACCAUGGGCUAAUUAGAACUCAAGCUAGCAACUAAAAACAUGCAUGAAUCUCAUGGCACAACCUCAAACAUACCUUAAUCUAGAUACAAGUAUGGCCAAACCUCCUCCUAAUCCUCUUCCAAACCAAAUAUGAAGCAAGAACUCUUUCCUUCUUCCUUAGAAUUUUCGGCCAAAAGAAAUGAAAAAGGAUGAACAAAUUUUUUUUUCUUUUCUUCACUCACGGCAAUGGGGGGAACACUCACACACAUUCUUUUAUUUUUUUUUUGUUUUCUUCCUUCCAUUUCUUAUUAGUUUAUUGCCCAUGCUUCUUAUUUUAUUUUUCCAUUAACACAACAUGUUUCAUGACAUGUUUUGCCCAUCAUCCCUUGUCAUGGCCGGCCACUAGUACUUAAAUGGGGGGAAAUUGACAUGCAAGUCCACCCCUUUGAUUACAUGCACUAUUAGGCCACUUGCAUUUGCCUAGCACAUUUCUAAAUUUUCUCACAUAAGUCCUAUCAACUAAAUUCACAUGCAAUUAACUAAAUCGAAGCUUAAAACUUUCACACAUUUAUAUUCACAUAUUUUAGGCAAUAAUUAUCACAUUCAAAUAAUUUGGUGACUCGGUCUAGCGGUCCCGAGACCGCUUUCCGACUAGGGUCACUUUAGGGCUGUCACAACUCUCCCCCACUGAAGAAAUUUUCGUCCCCGAAAAUCUUACCGGUAAAUAGGUUUGGGUAUCGUUCUUUCAUCGAGCUCUCGGUUUCCCAAGUAGCUUCCUCGAUCCCGUGUUUGAGCCAUAACACCUUUACUAACGGAACCCUUUUGUUUCGCAACUCUUUCACUUCACGAGCUAGGAUACGCAUUGGUUCUUCUUCAUAACUCAUAUCGGCUUGAAUUUCAACCUCUGAUGGGCUAAUUAUGUGCGAUGGAUCAGAUCUAUAGCGUCGAAGCAUCGAAACAUGAAAGACGUCGUGAAUCUUUUCAAGUUCAGGGGGCAAAAUCAAUCGAUACGCAACUGGACCGACUCGUUCGGAUAUUUCGUAUGGCCCGAUGAACCUCGGACUCAAUUUGCCCUUACGCCCAAAUCUGAGUAUCUUUUUCCAAGGUGAAACUUUAAGAAACACCUUAUCUCCCACCUGAUACUCAAUGUCUUUUCGUUUCAGAUCCGCGUACGACUUCUGGCGAUCUGAGGCUAUCUUUAGACUUUCACGGAUUACUUUUACUUUAUGUUCAGCAUCUUUAAUCAAAUCCACUCCGAAAAUUUUACUUUCACCGAGCUCGGUCCAAAACAAUGGUGUACGGCAUUUACGCCCGUACAAAGCCUCUUAAGGUGCCAUCUUAAUACUUGAUUGAAAACUAUUGUUGUAAGCGAAUUCAAUCAAUGGUAAAUACCGUUCCCAUGAACCACUAAACUCAAGGAUGCAACAUCUCAACAUAUCCUCAAGUAUCUGAAUUACCCGCUCGGAUUGACCAUCGGUUUGUGGAUGAAAAGCGGUGCUAAAAUGCAGCUUCGUACCCAAAGUUCUUGCAAUUUCUUCCAAAAUCGCGAGGUGAAUCUUGGAUCUCUAUCCGACACAACAGAAAUCGGUACCCCGUGUAAUCUCACAAUCUGAGAAACGUACAAUUCAGCUAGUUUAUCUUAUGAAAAAUCCAUACGCACGGGGAUAAAGUGAGCCGACUUAGUCAGUCUAUCAACAACAACCCAAAUUGCAUCCUUCUUACUUGCUGACAAUGGCAGUCCGGACACAAAGUCUAUUGUGACUCGAUCCCAUUUCCACUCGGGUAUCAUGAUCGGCUGAAGUAAUCCUGAAGGCACUUGAUGUUCCGCUUUCACUUGUUGACAUAUUAAACAUCUCGAAACAAAGUCGGAGAUGUCUCGUUUCAUACCAUGCCACCAAAAUCGACGUUUCAAAUCGUUGUACAUUUUCGUACUCCCCCGGUGAAUUGACAUUCGGCUACAAUGGGCUUCGUUCAGAAUCAUCGAAAUGAGUUCUGAAUUCCUUGGAACACACAAACGACUUCUGAACCUCAAACAAUCAUCAUCAUCAAUUUGAAACUCCGAUUCCUUGUUCGGAAUACACUCAGCUCGUUUUGCAACCAAUUCAUCAUCGACUUUCUGAGCUUCACGAAUUUGAUGAAUCAAUAAUGGUUUGGCUUUUAAUUCAGCUACUAAUACAUUGUCGGGUAGAACAGACAAGUGUACAUUCAUCGCUCGCAAAGCAAACAGUGACUUCUGGCUUAAGGCGUCCGCAACCACAUUAGCCUUUCCCGGGUGAUAAUUAAUGACAAGCUCAUAAUAUUUCAACAACUCAAGCCAACGCCUUUGUCACAGAUUCAAGUCUCGCUGGGUCAUAAAUAUUUGAGACUUUUGUGAUCCGAAAAUACAUGGCACUUCUCACCAAACAAAUAAUGUCGCCAUAUUUUCAAAGCAAAUACGAUGGCGGCUAGUUCGAGAUCAUGGGUCGGAUAAUUUCUCUCGUGUGGCUUCAAUUUUCUCAACGCAUAGGCCACAACUCGACCUUCUUGCAUCAAUACGCAACCCAACCCAAGUAGGGAUGCGUCACUAUAAAUGACAAACUCUUUGCCUGAUUCGAGUUGCACUAAAAUUGGAGCUUCAGUCAAAUAAGUUUUCAGUUGAUCGAAACUUUUCUGACAUUUCUCCGUCCAUUCGAACUUAACAUCCUUUUGAAGUAGCUUCGUCAUUGGUGUGGCUAUCAUCGAGAAACCUUUUACAAAUCGUCGGUAAUAACCGGCGAGCCCCAGGAAGCUCCGAACUUCGGUAAUAUUUCUUGGAGGCUUCCAGUUAAGUAUGGCUAAAAUUUUGCUCGGGUCAACUCGAAUACCCGAUGCGGAUACCACAUGACCCAAGAAGCUAACCUCUCUUAACCAGAACUCACACUUACUGAACUUAGCAUAUAACUUCUUAUCCCGCAAAAUUUGCAACACUAAUCUCAGGUGCUCAGCAUGUUUGGUCUCAUCUUUUGAAUAGACCAAGAUGUCAUCAAUAAACACAACUACGAACCGGUCCAAAUACUGUCUGAAGAUCCGAUUCAUCAAAUCCAUAAAUACCGCAGGGGCAUUAGUGAGCCCGAACGGCAUCACUAAGAACUCGUAGUGACCAUACCUCGUUCUGAAAGCAGUUUUGGGUACGUCCAAAUCUCGAAUCCGCAACUGAUAAUAACCCGAUCUCAAAUCUAUCUUUGAAAACACUGAGGCUCCCUUUAGUUGAUCAAACAAAUCAUCAAUACGCGGUAACGGAUAUUUAUUCUUUAUCGUCACUUUAUUCAGUUGACGAUAGUCAAUGCACAACCUCAUGGUUCCGUCCUUCUUUUUCACAAACAAUACUGGUGCACCCCAAGGUGAGAAACUUGGUCGAGCGAAACCUCUAUCCGCCAAUUCUUGCAACUGAGCUUUCAACUCUUUUAACUCGAUUGGUGCCAUACGAUACAGAGCUAUCGAAAUCGGCGUAGUCCCAGGUACAAGCUCAAUACCAAACUCUACCUCCCAAACAGGUGGCAAAC
rnacentral:lncRNA from 1 species